GUUUUGUUUUGACGCCUCGCCUCUAAGGUUUGAAUUUAGUAUACAAGUAGUAGUAUACAACAUACUUUUUGUAGAGAAAAAAUUACUAUAAGAAUGUUUAUUUAAAAAUAACAUUUUGACGUGAAAAAAGUUUGAAUAUGUCACCAAGGAAGGAGUUCGAUAAGAAUUUACAAUACGUUUAUCGCGAACCGUUUCAUAUUUUAUUGAGACAAUAGGUUUUAUUUUAUUGCGAUGCACCUAGAAAUGUCUACGUCUUGCCAAGUAGGUCAAUUCAGUUAUAUUUUAUUUUAUUUCUAUUUUAUUUAAUAGUAAAUUUACUGCAAUAUUGUAAUAAAUAAUUCUAAAAUAAAUAAAUUUUAAUAAAUAACUUGGACCAUAA